UCACUGUGAUGGAGAUGUGUACAUGCGACAAAGGGGAUGUUCUUGAAGAUGUUUAUAAUUUUCAACCCAAGUAUAUGCAUUCAGGAUUAAACAAGAAUUCCUAAGGAGAUAUUGGAAGCAACCCUAUUCCAUUGUGCAUCUAUGGAAGCAAAAUUCCAGAUGCAGAAGAUGGUAUUCAUAAACCCUAAAAGUGGUCUCAUUUUCUAC